rnacentral:rRNA from 1 species
AUGAACGCUAGCUACAGGCUUAACACAUGCAAGUCGAGGGGCAGCAUUUCAGUUUGCUUGCAAACUGGAGAUGGCGACCGGCGCACGGGUGAGUAACACGUAUCCAACCUGCCGAUAACUCGGGGAUAGCCUUUCGAAAGAAAGAUUAAUACCCGAUGGUAUAAUCAGACCGCAUGGUCUUGUUAUUAAAGAAUUUCGGUUAUCGAUGGGGAUGCGUUCCAUUAGGCAGUUGGUGAGGUAACGGCUCACCAAACCUUCGAUGGAUAGGGGUUCUGAGAGGAAGGUCCCCCACAUUGGAACUGAGACACGGUCCAAACUCCUACGGGAGGCAGCAGUGAGGAAUAUUGGUCAAUGGGCGCAGGCCUGAACCAGCCAAGUAGCGUGAAGGAUGACUGCCCUAUGGGUUGUAAACUUCUUUUAUAUGGGAAUAAAGUUUUCCACGUGUGGAAUUUUGUAUGUACCAUAUGAAUAAGGAUCGGCUAACUCCGUGCCAGCAGCCGCGGUAAUACGGAGGAUCCGAGCGUUAUCCGGAUUUAUUGGGUUUAAAGGGAGCGUAGGUGGACAGUUAAGUCAGUUGUGAAAGUUUGCGGCUCAACCGUAAAAUUGCAGUUGAUACUGGCUGUCUUGAGUACAGUAGAGGUGGGCGGAAUUCGUGGUGUAGCGGUGAAAUGCUUAGAUAUCACGAAGAACUGCGAUUGCGAAGGCAGCUCACUGGUCUGCAACUGACACUGAUGCUCGAAAGUGUGGGUAUCAAACAGGAUUAGAUACCCUGGUAGUCCACACAGUAAACGAUGAAUACUCGCUGUUUGCGAUAUACAGUAAGCGGCCAAGCGAAAGCAUUAAGUAUUCCACCUGGGGAGUACGCCGGCAACGGUGAAACUCAAAGGAAUUGACGGGGGCCCGCACAAGCGGAGGAACAUGUGGUUUAAUUCGAUGAUACGCGAGGAACCUUACCCGGGCUUAAAUUGCAUUUGAAUAUAUUGGAAACAGUAUAGUCGUAAGACAAAUGUGAAGGUGCUGCAUGGUUGUCGUCAGCUCGUGCCGUGAGGUGUCGGCUUAAGUGCCAUAACGAGCGCAACCCUUAUCUUUAGUUACUAACAGGUCAUGCUGAGGACUCUAGAGAGACUGCCGUCGUAAGAUGUGAGGAAGGUGGGGAUGACGUCAAAUCAGCACGGCCCUUACGUCCGGGGCUACACACGUGUUACAAUGGGGGGUACAGAAGGCAGCUACCUGGUGACAGGAUGCUAAUCCCAAAAGCCUCUCUCAGUUCGGAUCGAAGUCUGCAACCCGACUUCGUGAAGCUGGAUUCGCUAGUAAUCGCGCAUCAGCCAUGGCGCGGUGAAUACGUUCCCGGGCCUUGUACACACCGCCCGUCAAGCCAUGAAAGCCGGGGGUACCUGAAGUACGUAACCGCAAGGAGCGUCCUAGGGUAAAACUGGUAAUUGGGGCU